GUUCAGACUGCAGGCUGCAACUCGCCUGCACGAAGUCGGAAUUGCUAGUAAUCGUAGGUCAGCAUACUACGGUGAAUACGUUCCCGGGCCUUGUACACACCGCCCGUCAAACCAUGAGAGUUGGCAACACCCGAAGUCGGUAGUCUAACCGCAAGGAGGACGCCGCCGAAGGUGGGGUCGAUGAUUAGGGUUAAGUCGUAACAAGGUAGC
rnacentral:rRNA from 1 species